rnacentral:rRNA from 1 species
UACGUAGGGUGCAAGCGUUGUCCGGAAUUAUUGGGCGUAAAGAGCUCGUAGGCGGUUUGUCGCGUCUGCUGUGAAACCCGAGGCUCAACCUCGGGCCUGCAGUGGGUACGGGCAGACUAGAGUGGCGGUAGGGGAGAUUGGAAUUCCUGGUGGUAGCGGUGGAAUGCGCAGAUAUCAGGAGGAACACCAAUGGCGAAGGCAGAUCUCUGGGCCGUAACUGACGCUGAGGAGCGAAAGCAUGGGGAGCGAACAGG